ensembl:lncRNA
CUAUGUCUGCAUCAUGGCUCCACAUGGAAAAGAACUGAACAGAGGAAGAGAAACAUCUGACUGAGAGACUCGACAAAGAUGGAAAAAGAUCCAGGAAGAUCAGUGAGAAACUAAAAACCAGUGAUGCACAGAGUCAGAUGGAAUCAGGAGGUCUAGAAGGAGUCAUAGUACCACUGAUCAGGAGGUCUAGAAGGAGUCAUAGUACCAGUAAUCAGGAGGUCUAGAAGGAGUCAUAGUACCACUGAUCAGGAGGUCUAGAAGGAGUCAUAGUUCCACUAAUCAGGAGGUCUAGAAGGAGUCAUAGUACCACUGAUCAGGAGGUCUAGAAGGAGUCAUAGUACCACUAAUCAGAAGGUCUAGAAGGAGUCAUAGUACCACUGAUCAGGAGGUCUAGAAGGAGUCAUAGUACCACUGAUCAGGAGGUCUAGAAGGAGUCAUAGUACCACUGAUCAGGAGGUCUAGAAGGAGUCAUAGUACCACUAAUCAGGAGGUCUAGAAGGAGUCAUAGUACCACUAAUCAGAGCUCCUAAAAUGACUCCACAGACAGUGAACUACUUUCUCCAUCCAGCUGUAAAAACAGACGGCAGCUGUUUCAGACUUGGUUCAGGGGUUCUCCAUGGAAACCAGAGUUAAUGUGAAGCUCAGAAGGAACCUUCAGAACAUCAACCUCUAUGGACGGAGGACCAGAACUAAGCCUGGCUGCUGAAGAACCCGAGAAGAAGCCUGAUGGAUGUUGGAGAACAUUCUUUGGUCAGAUGAAGAUCAAUGAGUUGGGCUCAGAUGGAGUCCAGAUGUUUGGUGAGAACCUGAGCAGGACUACCAUAGUGGAUACAGAGUCCUGACAAUGAAGCACGGAGUUCACUAACCCUCGUGUCGUCCUGUGAGUCAAACUGACUCAUUUUACAAUUUGAAAAUGUGAAAAAAAAAAAAUUCACACUGGAACUUCUGAGGUCCACAUUUUCAAAAUUUUGGGGAAAUUUUUGAACAUUUUUUGGUGG